CACCAAGAAAGAGGGACUAAAAGCUUCGAAACUAGAAGCCAUGAUAAAAUUUCAUUCAGCAAGGAAAACAACACAUGCCCCCAAGAACAGAACAUGAGCUGGGAUUUUUAUAAGAACAUGUGACUCCUAGAGUCUUCCACAGAUCACUGGAGAAGUCAACCAGGGCAAAGUGAGUUCCGUCCUCAGAGCUUCAGUUUCACUGAUGAUACUUCGUUUUAGAAAAGAGACCAAGUACUGCUGUACAGACGUUGAGGCUGACUUUGAAUCUCCUCUGGAGCAUGGGACCUGCCAGGCUGGGAAGUUUCGCAAAAGCUUUCCCACUUCACAUGUAGAGCCGGUUGCUCCCAGCAGUGACCUAACUCGGAGAGGAGACGCUGGGUCUCAUGAUUCUUUGCUUUCCUAACGUGCUGGUGAGAUAGCAGAUCUUCGGUACACAGUGACUUGCUGACUCUGGGAAAGGAGUCAUGCUUCGGGCAGCAGCGUGGAAGGAAGUGAGCACAGAGCGGGGCGAGCACUACUUCUGGAACCCUCUGAAAGUACGGACUGUUCAGGAAAGGCCAAAGGCACGUGAGAUUUGUUUUCAGUUUGAAAGCCUCUGGCUUCAAAUGAUGCAAGUAUCUUUUAAUCUUUUUUUAAAUUGUUGUUAGUGCGGGUAAGAGAUAUGAUUUGAAUAUGUCAGGAAAUGAACUUUAGAAAGCACCCCUUUCAAACAGCUUUGGUAAAAUAAAGUAGCGAGGAAAGGUGUGAGACACAUGGGCUUUGAAGCCAGGGACUUGAGCUCACAGUGCAACUCUGCCACUCAGCAGCAAGGUGCUCUGGACAAUGACUCAACCGCUAGGCACCCAGUGAGGACAUGGAAUUCAAGAUAAAGUGUCUUCCCAGCUCAAAAAGCCUCUUUAACCAGGCAGAAAAGAAGGAAAGGGAUUGUACUGUUGAAUAAGUGCUACACCACAUGAUGAUAGAUAUUGAGGACACCCAGGAAAGGCUGCAACAGACGGAAGGAGCUCUUACUCUCAACUCUAGCUAGUCAGAACAGUUCACUAAGGAGAGCCCUACAAUUUAGACUCAAGUGGCACGUAGAUCUGCUUCUGCCUGGGGAUGAGCAGGCUGAAAAUAAUCUUUCUUCAGUCUUCCACAUCAAGGGUUUAGAGCUUCCUUAUUGCAAACAUUUGAAAAAGGCAGCAAAAGAAAGUCGGGAAUUGGAUGGGUGGGAGGAGGCAAGGGAAUGGAAUUUCCUCCCUUAUUUUUCAAAGGAAAAAUUAAGUCUCUAAUUUUAACUUUUAUUUGCUCAUACACACUUCAAGCUACUUGCCUACAGAAAUGGGAUAAUGGUAAUAGCACUCAGUUAGUCCCUCAUGAGCCUAGGAUAGCUUAGAGAUGGCAGUCAUUCUGCCUCAGCUCUGGAGUGUUGAGAUCACUAACCAGUGCCAUACAGCCAGCUAAGACCUGCUUCUCAGGGCUGUUGUAAGGAUGGUAAGUCAAAAGACAUACAGGGUACAUGCUGUCCUUAGGCCUUGAGAUGCAUGGAGUAUUGAGAUAUCCCCAACAUGCCUAGUACUAUACAUGCUUUGUAUAAUUUUCUUCUCAUUCAUGUGAGCUGAAUCUCUGAACAUAAUGGAAUGUGGUUCACGUGGAAGCCAGAACAGAGGGUCCAGCUCAGAAAUCAUGACAAUAAUACAUGGCUGUUGUCUGAAGCCACUAAACACGUGCUAAGUGACUGGAAACUAAUACAGGCUUUUUUU